rnacentral:rRNA from 1 species
AUUGAACGCUGGCGGCAUGCCUUACACAUGCAAGUCGAACGGUAACGGGCCUUCGGGUGCCGACGAGUGGCGAACGGGUGAGUAAUACAUCGGAACGUGCCCGAUCGUGGGGGAUAACGAGGCGAAAGCUUUGCUAAUACCGCAUACGAUCUACGGAUGAAAGCAGGGGUCCGCAAGGCCUUGCGCGGACGGAGCGGCCGAUGGCAGAUUAGGUAGUUGGUGGGAUAAAAGCUUACCAAGCCGACGAUCUGUAGCUGGUCUGAGAGGAUGAUCAGCCACACUGGGACUGAGACACGGCCCAGACUCCUACGGGAGGCAGCAGUGGGGAAUUUUGGACAAUGGGCGCAAGCCUGAUCCAGCCAUGCCGCGUGCAGGAUGAGGGCCUUCGGGUUGUAAACUGCUUUUGUACGGAACGAAAAGCCUUCUUUUAAUACAGGAGGGUCAUGACGGUACCGUAAGAAUAAGCACCGGCUAACUACGUG